rnacentral:rRNA from 1 species
CACGUAGGGGGCGAGCGUUGUCCGGAUUUAUUGGGCGUAAAGAGCUCGUAGGCGGCUCAGUAAGUCAGGUGUGAAAACUCCAGGCUCAACCUGGAGACGCCACUUGAUACUGUCGGGCUAGAGUCCGGAAGAGGCGAGUGGAAUUCCCGGUGUAGCGGUGAAAUGCGCAGAUAUCGGGAGGAACACCAAUGGCGAAGGCAGCUCGCUGGGACGGUACUGACGCUGAGACGCGAAAGCGUGGGGAGCAAACAGG